AAUCAAGUGAUUUAUUCAAAAUUGAUUUUCUAUAAAUCUGUUUAAGUUGAAUUUUAUAGUUUUUAUAGUUCAAUUUUAGUAUUAGACAGUUUUUUAAUAUAUAAAGUAAUGGAAACAUCUGCUAACGAUGGUAAGUGUUGAUUAAAUAAAGUAUUGUAGUUUAUAACUUUUUAGUUUAUGUUUAGUAGAAAUUUAUAUGCAUAUCUUUAUCAUUUGAUAGUUUAUUUUAAGUUAAAACUUUACUUUUUUUAGCAUCAGACCAGAGAUUUGCACUAAUAUUGUCAGAAUUAGCCACUUUAAGAGCAGAAUUAAACAAAGAUGCAUCAAGCUUACCAACUGAUCAGGGUUCUUCAGUCAUAUCAACACCUCCGGCUCAGGAAGUAGUCAACAACCUCUCUAGUUCAACAAGUACUCCCAAUGAUGGCAUCAAGGAUUCAAAUGGAUUUUCAUUUCA